GAUGCAACAAUUACAUACAUUACGCAGUGUUCACACAGGGAGUGUAGUUACCAUCUGUCACCAGAAAAGGUAUUACUUUGUGUGAAUUUUAAAAUGACUUUUUAUUUUUUAUAUUUAUAUUAUAAUUUACAUAUUACAUAUUACCUUAUGUAUUUUUGUAUUUAUUAUGUUUUAAAGUGGUUCUAUAAUUUGAACUGGUUCUGAUGUUUCACUUAGUUUACUUCCCUUAUUCUCCAUUUUCCAGUUAAAAAAAUUUUUUUCUUUAAUGUUUAUUUAUGUUUGAGACAGAGAGAGACAGAGCAUGAAUGGGGCAGGGGUGGGGCAGAGAGAGAGGGAGACACAGAACCCGAAGCAGGCUCCAGGCUCUGAGCUAUCAGCACAGAGCCCGAGACGGGGCUCAAACUCACAAACUGUGAGAUCAUGACCUGAGCUGAAGUCUGACGCUCAACUGACUGAGCCACCCAGGCACCCCCCCCCUUUUUUUUUUUUAAUUUUUUUUUAACUUACCGUUUUCCAGUUUAUAAGGUAGAGUUUCCCGUCAGUGAACAUCACGUAUGUCAUAAAAUUUACUAUUCCUCCAUAGUAUUUAACCACAAUAUUAAAAACAGUGUGGGGAGGGGCACCCGGAUGGCUCAGUUGGUUAAGUAUCCAUACUCAUGGUUUGUGAGAUCGAGCCUCGUGCUGGGCUCUGUUACUGACAGCACAGAGCCUGCUUGAGAUUCUCUGUCUCCCUCUCUAUCUCUCCCUCUCCGUGCUGCUCCCCAACUCACGCUUUCUCUCUCUCUCUAAAACUAAAUUUAAAAAAUUUGUUUGUAAUCUUUAAAAAAAUUGUACAUUAUAUUAAUAUUAUUUGAUUCCUAUUACUUAGGUAUAGAUAUUUUUAAAGCUGUUAUAAGUAAUGUCAAAUUAUUUUAAAGCUGUUAUAAGUAUUGUCAAAUUAUUUUUCAAACAUUUUCUGCCACACUAUAUGGUCUUCAGGAUUGGACAGAUAUACCAGUUCCAUUUAUAUUUUCACCUGUACUACAUACUGUAACUUUAAAAACAACUUAAUAGAGGAAAUGAACUUCAUUACUGCUUUCACUUGAGAUCUUUCACUAUGAAUGGAAUUGAACAAUUUUCAAUUUACUCAGACAUCUUUACUUCCUCUUACUCUUCACAUACUGUGUCCAUAAUGUAGUGGAAAAAUAUUUUAGCAACUUUUAUGCAUUAAAAAUAAUCACUACAGGGGAGUCUGGGUGACUCAGUCGGUUAAGCGUCCGACUUCGGCUCAGGUCAUGAUAUCACAGCUUGUGAGUUUGAGACCUGUGUUGGGCUCUGUGCUGACAGCUGGGAACCUGAAGCCUGCUUCGGAUUCUGUGUCUCCCCCUUUUUCUGCCCCUCCCCCACUCAUGCUCUGUCUCUCUCUGUCUCAAAAAUAAAUAAACAUUAAAAAAUUUGAAAAAAUAAAUCACUACAGAUUUCAAUAAACAAAUGUUUAAAACAAUCUUUUUUAAUUAUACCAAUUCUAAUCAGGCAGUGUUUGCAGAGCUCAAAGCUCACUUCAAUGAGAAGGAUAGCACUGCUGAAGAGAGAAGUCAUAAAAAUCAAGCCAUGGACCCGUACUUGUGACACAAACUAAUACGCUAGAUCUUAAGUUCUGUCUAACAAUCAGCAUCUGUUCAUUACAGACCAGGGGCGGAGGCAGGAGAGACAGUUUCUAUUCUAGACCAAACCCAGAGAAAGGGAGGCCACUUAUCUGGGUAGCACAAAGCAAAUCAGACUCUGCUCCUUUCCCGAUUCCACCUUUGUUUGCUUAUUUAACCAGGCAAAAGUACUUAACCACACAAAACAGCUUCUACUGUAUUGACAUAAAACUCAUUUCACAUGACCCACAGAUAAUCAUUGGCAACCUUCAGAAGGGUUACCCGCUCACGACUCCAUCGUUUCCUUGAAACUAACUGUGGCCAAAGCCUACUUUUAGUUUGUGCAAUUUUAUAACAUUUUAGAACCAAAUGACCCUUCAUUUGUCAAGCAGUUUCCAUGAAAUAGACUUUAAAAAAUCAUUUCUAAAAUCUCCUUCUCAAUGUUGGACAAGAACCUAGUUUGAUGACCAGAGCUGAGGACCUCCUAGGGCCCUGGCUCUCAGUCGUGGCUGUGCACUGGAGUCUCCCGGAGCUUUCUAAGACCCCAGUGUUGCCCCCUGUGCCAAAGGUUCUGAUGUAAUUGGCCUAAGAUGAAGCCUAGGGAUGGGGAUUUUUAAAAGAGCCUCCACCUCACUGCUCAGGGGAAAGCAAUGGAUAGAGAGUUUCGCUGUCACCUGCUUACAAACCACCGAUGGUGAAAGGUAAUACUAACCCAGCCUAGUGUAUUUCUCAAAAAAAGAGAUUUGUGGGAUUUUUGUUGCUGUGGCUGACUUGCUUCUUUGAAGACACGACUCCAAGGUAUUUUGCGAAACAGAAUUAACAUGACGCAAGUUAUCGAACCUCUUAAAAGCAGUUCUUCGUGCAUAAGACUUUGCCGGAAUGCAGUUCAAGGCAAAACCUACCAAAUGUAAACAGGACAUGGAUGUUUUUGCCACUGAGGCCGGGCACAUAUCCGUUGUUGGAGCGUAUUUCCACGCGUCCUCUUUUCCGACUCCCCUCCCUUCCGGGGCCACGAGGAUCGCCUCCUUUCUGCGCCUCUUCGUUCCUGCCGCCCGGCAGUGGUGCCUGAUAACAUCCAAUACGUGGUUGUUGACUGACUGCGUUUGCCCCUUGUUCUGCCAGCUGGAUAGGCUGCUCUAUCAGUAGCAGUGCCACAGUGACCUCUCUCGAUGAAACCAGAAAGUGCAGUGGGGAAUUCCAGAAGGAGCUCUUGGAACAACAGUCACCUUGGGGUUGGAAUGUGAGCCGGUCCCAGUCUCGGACGAAACCGAGGAGGAAAUAAUGUCAGAGGAGCUUGGGGCAAAUGGGAAGCAGAACAGCACUAUGGGUCUGUCUCCGCGAGGAGCCCGUCCCGGCACUUUCGUUAACUCCUCUGAUUCUUUUGGUUCUUCGUGUCCAGAGACCAGAGACCUAAGCUUAAAUUCACUCUCUUGAAUGAUUUUACUAGUUUUUCAACAUGCAAAGAUUGCAAUGUUUCAUGCUACAGAUGGAUUUUUCAGGAGCCACCAAGGCGUUCCAAUCAAGGCAAUUAAAAAGAACCCCACACUGCAUUUUAGAAGACAAAGUCACAGGGCUUUAGGGUAGAUUUUAAAAACCCUUCUUGGGGUGCUUGAGUGGCUCAGUCGGUUAAGUGUCUGACUUUGGCUCGGGUCACGAUCUCAUGGCACAUUAGUUUGAGCCCCGCCUCGGGCUCUGUGCUGGCAGCUCAGAGCCUGGAGCCUGCAUCGGAUUCUGUGUCUCCCUCUCUCUCUGCCCUUCCCCCCCUCCUUCUCUCUCUCAAAAAAAAAAAAAAAAAAAAACUUAAAAAAAAAACCUCUUCUCACUUUCAGUUUGUAUUUGUUCCUAUUGUUUAUGUCCUGAUGCACGCUUGGUGUAAACUCAGAGGGAAGAAGAAAUGAAAGACACUGCCUUUAAUGCCACAGUCAAGGUGACAACUACUUAAGAAAUUAGAGGUGAGAAAACUUGAUCCUAUGAAGCAAGUACAAAUGGGAUUACUGUCACCAAAUCAUAAACACUUAUGCUACCGGGGAGCAGCAGGCUAAGAGUUAACUUGGAGACUAGCGCUAAACUAAGUGUUCACUUUCAACCUUUGCACCGACCGAAUCAAUUAACAUUCUGCCUAAUUAACUCGGCUCUCAAAUGGGGCUCCAUGUAAAGCAUCCCAUAUGGACAGUGGCCCCAUUUCCCCCUCUAACAACAAGGUAUAAAAUUAUUUAUCUGCAUACUGAUAACUUAGAGGUUAAAGAAGAAACAGGAGGUAGAGUGUUUAUUUGAAUAGAAAUAUGAUAUUAGCACAAAUGUUCUUUAAACAAAAAGAUAAUUUUAGUGGUGGCAAUAGAGGAAAGGGUGAAGCCAGGUGAAGAAAGAGAACAUUUUCUUCCCCGAAUGAAGAAUGAAAACGUGCUGGAUUCUCACUCCAUUGAGGGUCUGGGGGAUUCGACCAUGGGACCCCCUUCAAAAUGGGCCUAUGUUGUAGAUCCCCUAAUAACAGUAAAUAAACCUUUAGCCACAAAACCAUUGUAGAUGGAAUCCAACACAAAGAAUUCCCUAUCAAAUUACCAAACUAUUUUUGUAAGACUUCAGGGUUAGCGUAUUUAUUUUUCUUCACACACCCUGUCUCCAAGACUUUUAAAAAGUGCUAAAAAUGAUACAAAACCCAAGAGGAUAACAAUCAUAAAGCAGAAGCAACAGAAUAAAGGAAACUAAAGAGAGGGCCAGGAAAUGGAGCCAGAAAAAAGCCUAAACGUUUGCAUAAACCAAGUAUUGAUGUGCUCCCUUCCACGUGUCUGGGCAACAAAUGUGGCUCUAACCUGCCAGCAGCCACAGUGAAGACAGUAACCUGGUCAAGUGCUCCCGCUCAGACUCUAAGAUAGAAAUAAACACAUUUCACAGAAGAUUCUUCCUGGCGUUUAGACCCGAACAGCAACCAAAAAAACCAAAACGCUUAUGUUUGGUCUCUUUUUGAAAAAGAAACUACAUGAUAGAAUAAACAAUGUCCUCAACAAUAUCUUUUUUUUUGUUUGUUUAUUUAUUUUGAGAGAAAGAGAGAGAAACAGACAGAGACAGAGAGAGAGAGAACACUGGCAGGGGAGGGGCAGAGAGGAGAGAGAAGAUCCCAAGCUAACUGCACAGAGCCCGAUGCGGGGCUCAAACUCAAGAACUGUGAGAUCGCAACCUGAGCUGAAACCAAGAGUCAGACGCUUAACUGACUGAGCCACACAGGCAUCCCUGUCCUCAGCAAUACCUUGACACAAAGUUUCAUGGGACUUUUCCUUAAAAUACUCCUCUGGAUAGGGUGCCCAGUUUAAUUUGAAUUUCAGAUAAACAAGCCAGACAUACUCUCACUAAACGAUUACUCAUUGUUUGUCUGUGAUUCAAAUUUAACUCACCCAACUCAGGUUCUUGUGAAUCCUGUAAGAAAAUUCUACUCAUGUAUACAAGCAUAGAUGUUACAUAUGCCUCCCUUUUAUUAAACCUUUUGUUUUUAACAUUUUUAAUUUUUUUUUAACGUUUAUUUAUUUUUGAGACAGAGAGAGACAGAGCAUGAACAGGGGAGGGUCAGAGAGAGAGGGAGACACAGAAUCUGAAACAGGCUCCAGGCUCCGAGCUGUCAGCACAGAGCCCGACGCGGGGCUCGAACCCACGGACCGCGAGAUCGUGACCUGAGCCGAAGUCAGCCGCUUAACCGACUGAGCCACCCAGGCGCCCCUUGUUUUUAACAUUUUUACUUUAACGAAUGCAAUCUUUUCAUAUCUACAAAGUUUUUAAAAGCUAUGCAUUGUUUAACUGUUUGGAGGUACCAUAAUUUUUUUGACAAUGUUUCUAUUUAAAAAUAAUUUUUUUUGAUGUUUAUUUAUUUUUGAGAGAGAGACAGAGUGUGAGAGGGGGAGGGACAGAGAGAGGGAGACACAGCAUCUGAAGCAGGCUCCAGGCUCUGAGCUGUCAGCACAGUGUCCCACACAGGGCUUGAACCCAGGAACCGUGAGGUCAUGACCUGAGCCGAAGUCAGCCGCUCAAGCCACUGAGCCACCCAGGCUCCCCGACAAUGUUUCUAUUGAUGAACACUUAAUUUAAAUUGUUUCUUCUCUAUCUUCUUUAUAAACAACUUUGCCAACACCGUAAAUCCCUUUUGCAGGUAUGCAUUAAGACUGCUUUUCAGGGGUGCCUGGGUGGCGCAGUUGGUUAAGCGUCCGACUUCAGCCAGGUCACGAUCUCACGGUCCGUGAGUUCGAGCCCCGCGUCAGGCUCUGGGCUGAUGGCUCAGAGCCUGGAGCCUGUUUCCGAUUCUGUGUCUCCCUCUCUCUCUGCCCCUCCCCUGUUCAUGCUCUGUCUCUCUCUGUCCCAAAAAUAAAUAAACGUUGAAAAAAAAAAAAUUAAAAAAAAAAAAAAAAGACUGCUUUUCAGUCUUGGAAGGUCAAUUGUGGGUUCAAAGAGAUUACUUAGUCUUAAAUUUGAUAGAAAUUGUAGGGGCACCUGGAUGGCUCAGCUGGUUGAGUGUCCAACCUCAGCCCAGGUCAUGAUCUCACGGUUCACAAAUUUGAGCCCUGUGUUAGGCUCCAUGCUGACAGCUCAGAACCUGGAGCCUGCUUCAGAUUCUGUCUCCCUCUCUCUCUGCCCCUCCCCGGCUCGUGCUCGGUCUAUCUCAAAAUAAAUAAAAAACAUUACAUUUUUUUUUUAAUUUUGAUAGAAAUUGCCAAAUUGUCCCCUAAAUACAUUAUAUCAGUUUUCAUGCUAACCCACAGAAUAGGAGAAUGCUUUCCACACCCUUAGUAACAAUACUCACUAUGGAUGCUGUAACUUUUUUUGCCAGUCCUAUACCUAAAAGAAACUACAUCUCCAUGCCGAAUCAAUUUGAUAUUCCUCAAUUAAGAACAAAGUUCUGGUUGACAUUUGUCAAUUUUGGGCUGCCAGCUCCCACUGUCAGUCCUUUUCAUCCUUCCCAGGCACCCAAGGAUUACCCUUUGGAGAACUGCACCUCCCUGCAUCUUUGGGUUAGGAUGUAGACUGUAAGUCUUCCUAUGGAAAGUGUGGGGUCCAAAUCACCCAACUCCCCACUCAGAAAAGCUGGGGGGUCCCAUGCAGGGGACAGUCCUUGGGACAUUUGGACCCUCUGGGGGAUGCUGAUACUUGGGAGAAUGACCCACGAGCAAGAGCGCUGGUUGAAGCCAUAGCCAUCAUGGGGGCAGCUGCUGUGUCAGUGUCCCUUACCUACGCUGUGACUCUGACUGUGGUUCUUACCACACAGCACCUCAGAGCUUGGUGGCCAUGGUCCGGUUUGGAAUAUAAGCUGUUAACCACUCUGAGCGCCAGCUGUCUCUCCAAUGCAUCCAUUUCCUCUUUGAGGAAAUCAAUGUAUUCCUUCUGCUUGAAACCAGGAACGCUGGCACAAUUGUAGAGACAGGUUCCAUCUAAUUUUCCUCUAAAUAGUGAAUCUGUUAAAUAGUGAGUCUUUCCAGUGCAUGAAAACGAUUUGAUCAUGGCUUAUGCACAGUUUCCUCAGGAAUUCACCUACGGUAUUACACAAAGUACUCAAUCUAAAUUACAAAAGGAGAAUGAUCAAAGUGGACCCAUCCUAGAAGGCAGUAGUAUCGGCUCUCGGCUCUCGUUAAGGGGGCUCCUGGGUGGCUCUGUCGGUUAAGCGUCUGACUUCGGCUCAGGUCAUAAUCUCAUGGUUUGUGGGGUCCAGCCCUGCAUCAUGCUUUGUGCUGACAGCAAGGAGCCUGCUUGGGAUUCCCUCUUUCCACUCUGGAACAUAGGAAGGAGAACUGAAGCUUGUCGAUCUCUGGGUUCCAAGGUCAGUGGCAUAGGAAUACUUUUCAUUUCAGUUGAUUAGCUAGUGCGGAGGAUCAGAACGUGCCAUCCCCAAAUGUGCAGCUUUGGUACGAUGGAGAAUAAAGAGAUGCAGAAAGAAGCCUUUUCAGAACUUCUCUUAUCUGACUCAAAGCAGAAACUUCUGAAAAUGAAAACUGCCCCAAAUCCCGUCUCCCGGAGAAGCUCUAUGGUCACGCAGAAGAAGGAAAAUCAGCACCGAAGUGGACCUGUGCAACCAAACCUUGCUAAAGUGGCCCUUCCUUUCCACUGGUUUCUCCCACGUUGCCUUCCCACAGUUGGAAGUCCCUAGAAGCCAGACACCCUUUCCCUGUGUCUUGUCACUUCCCUACAAAUUUGUCCUUCUUUGUUAAGAUGCCAUUUAGGUGCAAGUUCAAACCACCUCUUUGAAUUACCCAUCACUGAGUUUCUCCCACAUGCGUGCAUGCUGCCCACGUCAACAAGCUCUGUUCUUCUCUUGUUCAUCGGUCCUUUGUCAGUCUAUUUUCAGGCUCCAGCUGGAGACCCUCGGAGGGGAUGGGGAAGAGGCUUUUUUUCCCUUCCUUACACUAGCACCAAAGACAGUACCAAACAAAAAUAUCUGCGCCUCGUGAGUAGAUGCAGCUGCCCAUGGUCCGAUGUUCUGAGCCCAGGUGCAGAGCCCAGGUGAAAGCCAUUCGAUUCAAGGAAACCUGAAGUCUUGAGAGUUCUAAGUGUGUACCUCGUUGGGCAGGAAAGCGUCGAGUGAGUCUCAAGAGUCUACCUAUGGCACGCCAGCUUGUACAGCAAUGUCUUGCCACCAAAACUGUAGUCUCCUGUAUCCUCUGUGGGCUUCAGCAUUCUUCUUACUCCAAGAGAUCUCACUGUGGCUGCCUCAGGACCAUCUGUAGCAGCCAUUCAUUUCACAAAUACUACGUGCCCUCCAUAAAAAGCACUGUUUCCUUUUGUUAUUAAACGGUGUGUAUGGAGAGCACCUUCCCUUAUCAAAUGGUUACAAAACACUGCAACUGCCCUCUUGAAGUGUUGUUUGAGUUUUGAUUAUUUCUCUUUGUUUCUCUGUAUGUGUGUCUCUUUCUUUCUCAUCUAUGUAUAUAUUUUCACCAUCCCCUUUGGCCAGAACAAUCUUUUACGGAUGUAGCUGUAUAAUUUACGUACAAUACAUAGAUCUUAAGGACUCAUUCUGAAGAGUUUUGUCGAUGGCAUACACCCAUUUAACCACAACCUAUGGAAAUAGAAAACAUUUCCAAAACCCCAGAAAAUCCUCUCAAACUUCUUUCUGGUCAGUUCUGCACUAUUUCCUGUCAGGGAAAACAACAACAACAACAACAACAACAACAAUAACAACUCUAGUUUCUAGCACAUAGAUUUGUUUUGCUUAUACUGAAAGUCAUAUGAAUUGAAUCACACAAUUUGUGCUUUUUUGGUGGAGGGGGCUUGAUAUAAUGUUUCUGAAGUUGAUCCAAAUUGUUGUGUGUGUCAAUAGUUCAUUUCUUUUUACUAAGAAGCAUUCUACUCUAUGAGUUUACCACAAUGUGUUUGUCCAUUCACCUGUUGAUGGUUAUUUGGGCCAUUUCGAGUUUGAGGCAAUUAUGAGUAAGACUACUAUGAACAUUCUUCUCUACGUCUUUUUGUGUACACAUCGUCCUUACUUCUUUACUGUUUACUUUACGUAAAGUAAAGUAACUGUUUAACUUUACGAGAAGUUGCAAAGGAGUUCUUACGUGUGGUUGGACAUUCCUCGACAUCUACCCACAAUAGAUGAGACUUAUAGUCACUUCAGAUACUCACAAAUGUCUGUUUUGUUAGGUGUUUUGAGAAUAGCCCACUAGCACCUGUGAAAGGUAUCUCACCAUGGUUUUAAUUUGCAUCCUCUUAUGGUUAAUGACAUAGAGCACGUUUUCAUUUGCUUACUGGCUAUUUGCAUACCGUGUUUUGUGAAAUAUUUGUUCAAGUGUGAUGGGGUGUCAUUUUAUUUUUUAUUUUUUUAUUUUUUUUAAUUUUUUUUGCAACGUUCAUUUAUUUUUUUGGGACAGAGAGAGACAGAGCAUGAACGGGGGAGGGGCAGAGAGAGAGGGAGACACAGAAUCGGAAACAGGCUCCAGGCUCCGAGCCAUCAGCCCAGAGCCCGACGCGGGGCUCGAACUCACGGACCGCGAGAUCGUGACCUGGCUGAAGUCGGACGCUUAACCAACUGCGCCACCCAGGCGCCCCAAGGGUGUCAUUUUAAAUUGGGUUGUUUGUACUUUUUAUUAUGAGGGGUUUUUUUUAUGUGUUUUGCAAAUUUGCAUGUCAUCCGUGUACAGGGGUCAUGCUAAUCUACUCUGCGUCAUUCCAAUUUAGUAGAUGUGCUGCCAAAGUGAGCACAGUUCUUUAUGUAUUUUGGAUUGAACUCUUUCGUUAGAUGUAUGUACCAUAAAUAUUUUUUCCAAAAUGAUUAUUUUUUAAUGGACAAUGGCAAGUACGUUUCAUAACCAUCUCUGGAAUACCCAAACAUUCAAGUAGCAGAUAGACCAGGCAGUUACUGCCACCACAAAAGUUUGGUAUAAAAAACUAUUCUAAAACAUAGUGACUUCAAACAAUAAGCAUUUAUAUAGAAACCAAGGCUACAAGUCAGUUGGGGUCAGCUGACCUAGGCUGGGGUCAGCUGAAGCACCUUGGCUGUAUCAUUUUGCUCCCUGGGUCUCAUACUCUCCUCCUGGAACCAGUGCAUUGGCACAGCCGUAUUCUUUUCAUGGUGGUGGCUGAGGCACAAAGAGACCAGCAGAAACAUGCAAGACUUCUUGGGUCUUAGACUCAGACCAACACUGUGUUACUUUCACAUCUACCUGUGGACCAAAGCAUCUGUCAUGGUUGAAAUCAGAGCUGAGGUGGGAAACGUGACCUGCCCAUGGUUAGCAAGCUUUGCAAAAUUACUUGACAAGUGGCAUAGAUACAGGGAAAAGCAAAGAAUAAGACUCAGUGAAAUCUGUUGCAAACAUGUGAAAGUCAUAAGUGUGUAAACACAUUUUUAAAGAAUUUAUGAUGGAAAAGAGACAUCAGGAAUAAUCCAUUGACCAUUUUGCCCUCAUAACUGCCUUGCUGAGUGUUUGAUUUCCCUCCCUCAGCCCAACUUAUUCCAUUUAGUAUUCAACUAGUCUUAAAACCAUUUAUUUACAAAUUCAUGAAUUUAUUCAAUAAUUAUUUAGAAUAUUUCCUGUAUGCCAGGUACUGGGUGCCAGGUUCUAGAACCACAAGAGUGAUCAAGACAGGCAGAACUUAUGAAAUUCAGCGUUGGAUACAGACAACUGAGUAGGAAAUUUCAGUUCAAUAGGAUGCUUUAGGGGGCCAUCGGAAGGACAGCUUACCCAGAGUCAUGGUGUGAAGGUUUUACAAAGAAAAUGAGAUCUAAGCUAAAGCCUAACCAACAAAUGGAGGGCAAGCUGACUUAGAACUGACAGUAGGUAGAUGCAGUUUGAGUGGAGUUUCAGUGGAGAGGUGACCGUGGCCCAGAAUGAAGAGUGGAUGGAAGACGUAGGGAAACAGGAGGCAGGGAGGCUACUGCAAUGUCUAAGCUGGAGGAAGCAGGGCAUCAACCAGCGCAGACGCAGCAGAGGUGGAGAUAUGUGGAUGGAUUCCAGUGACAUUUUGGAGCCCCGGGGGAAGGGCUUGGAGUUUUACUCUGUCUAGGAUGAGGGAGAGUGAGAAAUCAAGAAUAGUGCCCAAGUUUCAUGACUAAUCCAACAGAUGGUUUUACACUUAAUGAAAUCAGAAUUAGAGGAAAGGGUCAUGUUGGAUUGAUAGGGGGAAGAGAUAACAAAUUUUAUUCUAAAAUAUUGAGUUACCUAUGUUAAAAGAUAAGCUGAGGUAUGUUAAAUAUUUUCAGAGCUCAUGUAAGCAAAAGUCAAUUCAAAUCAGGUGGCAUCCAAUCUAAAAGACAGAGAGAAGCUCUGAGGAACCUUACAAAACGGAAGACUUACAUGGGCCGAAAGGAGUUGGAACAAGGAAGGUGGGAAAGAGGCACAUUAGCGUGUGCAAAGUUAUGGCAGGGUUACUUUCCUUUGGGGGAUGACAGGGCUUUCUCUGGCAGAUUACCUAAUUAGUGCCGGUUAGGUGAUUCCUGAUGGACUGGUUUAAGAUUCCAUUUCUGGGAGAGCUGAGACUGUAAUUAAAUUAAGUCUUGCUUCCUUCACAUGGGAUUUAGCAGAAGUGCCUCUGUUUGGGGCCUAUUGUCUUAUUUUUCACACUUGUGAGAUAUCCAGGAGGCACUGUCUUGCAGUUAGAGGUAAACAUGAGCCUGAAGUUUAGUAGAGAAUUUAGGGCUGGUGGUAGAUUUAUGUGUCACGGGUAUAUCGGACUUGGACACCAGCAGAGAAGGUGAAAAUGCUCAUGGAGAAUACACGAAGAGGGCGGAAUGAGGAGGGAUAUCAGCCAACAGCUCAACAAGGAAAGGGCGGGCAGGCGAAGGGAUCCUGCCAGGGAAGCUAAGAAUGUGCAGCCAAAGCCAUAGGAAGGAAGAUCAUGGAGGAAGAGUGUAUGCCUGCUUUCAGGGAGGGAGAGACUAAAUGGCAAAGAACAAGAGAAAAAUCAAUAUGGUGAUGGUCCUGAUAAGACCCAAGGGAAGGAAAUUUGAAGCUCAGAUACAAGAAUAAAAUUUGGGUAGGAAUUGCCCCCCACCCCCACCCCCCAGUAGGACAAGAUAAAGAGAGAGUAUGGAAACAAAGGAACGGUUGAUACGGUGUGGGUGAGAGGGUUCUUGAUGGUCUCUCUCUCUCUCUCUCUCUCUCUCUCUCUCUUUAAGGAGGAUAGAGUGGUAUGGGAAGGAGAUGAAGCAUUAUUCUUUAGGAAAGUAAAGGUUUGAAAACAAAAACAAAAACAAAAACAAAAAUUGGGACAGAAAAUGAAGAAAACCUCAUUGUUCUCCCGGCAGCGUUAAGGUCCCAGGAGUGGUGGGGGACUGUGAAUUUGUCAUGUCUCACAUCUUAAUGACUUUGCUGUUUUCCACCAGACUUGGGAACACACAAAGAAAAAGCAGACUUUCGGCUUGAUUUACUCAGGCGGAGGGGAGACACCAAGAACGUGCCCGACACAUUUUGUUCAGCGGCACGCUGAUCACCUCUUCACCGCUAACGCCCCUCAGUGAAGAACAACCAGAAGAAUUUUCAAUUUAAAAAUAAAUCCAAACAUUUGUCUUCGUAUUAUCAAUGCUGUGGAAUAUUCUGAACAUACUGAGAAAUUGAAGAGCAUGCAUUUGUG
rnacentral:lncRNA from 1 species